UUCUUCGCUGGAGCACGCAUAUUCUUCCAAUCUCUAGAUGCAGCAAUCUUUUUGUUUUCACGGGUUUCAGAAAUUCCAGCAGAAAGUUUUGUUCUUCCCGUGAUAUCUACAAAUGAAAGGCUUACCCUGGGAUGUGAGUUAUCGGAUGGAACUGUCAUACGCGGACAAAAUGAAAUAUCUCAUCCAACCCAUGGAUCCAUGCAACCUAUAGACAAGGAUGCCUCUUCAGCCCCAGCACUUCCUUCUAGAAUAAAACGGAUAUUCUACAUGUCCAGUGAAGGAAGCAACUUAUUG
rnacentral:misc_RNA from 1 species